GUUCCCCGGCUUUGCCGCGCGGAGGAAGUCCCGGUUACGCAGAGCGCGCUGGGGCAGGGCUGACCUUCCCCUUUCUCUACUUCACUGGCCUCCUCCAGACGUGGUGGUUGCGCCCUUUCGGCCUCGCUUUCCGUUUUUUGGCUUCAUCCCCUAGAUCUGCAAACAGUUCCUCGUGUUUCUUCCGUUAGCCGGGAAACGCGAACUGCAGCGUUUGGGACCCGGGUUUGCGCGUGUGGAAAGCAAAAGGGGUUACUCUGCUGGAGUUCGACAUUGCAAAUAAAGGUCUUUAUCCCCGGCGGUUCUACAAAAUUAGUUCUGCAGGGAUUCUGGUUGAAAGAAGCGUUAAAGUGGGCCUUGUAGGAGUCAGCAAUAAUCCAAUUUUACAUGGGUGCAGGUGGCUGCCUGUGUCUAGCGCUUUCACACAUCUCAUAUCUUCAUCCACGCCGUGGGUAUUUUUUUUCCACGGUGUGUUUCUGUUGCUGCCUCCAGUAUAUUGCUUAAUCAUCCUACCUGGUAAUUAUUUAUGCAUUUUUCUCCUACUCUCGACUCAGCUCCUAGGGAAUAAAAACACAUUAACUUAUCUUUGUGCCCACAGCACCCACCAAGUAUUUCCAUCACGUAAUACUGCCUCUAGAAAGGCAGGAGGAGAAGCAGUCACGCUAAGGAUCUAGGCAAGCCAGAUCUUUUGUCCGGUUUUAGGAGGUGGCCAGCCCUUACUUAUUCCACAAGUGUUUUUCCAGAAACUCAGACUUGAUAUUGCCUCAAGUCCAAGGCAGUGUGCUUCCCCCACUCACAUAUCACUAAUAGUAGCUAACAUUUGUUCAGAUCCCUGUAUGUACUCUGCCACUGUUUUAAAUGUUACACCCGGGUUACCUCAUUUAAUCCUUACAACUGCCCUGUGAGGUAGGUACUAUUAUUAUCUCUACUUUGUAGAUGGGAUUCACCGAGGCACAGACGGUUAAAAAACCUAGCCCAAAUAACACAAAUAAACAGCAGAGCAUGCAGUGCUAGAGUCUGCAUUCUUAACAAUUGCUAUAUUCUCCCUCUCCGUGAAUGUGGGCUGAGAUGCUGAAACAGGCAUGUGCUGUGGGGGAGAAAAAGCUUUGUCCAACCAAGUGCUUUCUAAUGUCCAGAUGACAUAGAGCUAGGAUUUCCUAAUGUCUUUUUUCCCCUAUUUUUCUCUCCAUUUCAGGGUUGAGUUUGUGCAUCGAUUGUGAACACAACAGGCAGCAGGCUAUAAUGGUGGUCCUGGCUGGAGUAGUUUUCACAGACUUCAGUAAUCUGUGGAGAUGAACGGGCAGUUCUCUGUAGUUUUCACAGAUCACUGCCAGUUCGUUUUGAGGCCUUCAGGAGUGAAGACCUGGCUCAUCAUCACUCUUUGUUGUUUUGUUAAAUUUAUUUACACCCUACUUUAUUCCAGAGGAAAGGAUUUAACGUAGUUUACAUAAAUGUGUACAUCAGGGUAAAUUAAAAAUAAGUACAGAGAAAAAUAGGACAAAAGAAAACCGUGAGUGUGAAAGAUAAGAUUAAGCCAGCAGUUUUGUAUGCAAAAUGCAUGGUGUAAGGUCCUAUUGGUUUGCUGGAGGUAGGCCACACAUAUGACUCUCAGUUUUCUAGCAACCAAGAAAAAGAUCAGUUGCAAUCGGAGUAGGUGUUUUGGCUAAGCUGGAACUAGGACUUGAAUAUAGCAGCUUGUAGAGUUAUACCACUUGCCCAAAUCUCUUCCAUGAGCCUCUUUAAGUGUAACAGAAUGCCUGGGAGCACGUAAAUGCUCCUACUUAGAUGCCUACUUAGCCUCUAAUUUUCAUGGGGCCCAUGAAUCCCAUGAAAAAGAACUUUGAACCCUGUCCACAAUUAGAGUUCAGGUAUACGCAGACAUGUUUAAAGACAAGGGACACCCAAAGGAAAGAUUGCACAGAGAGAAAGUGAGCAUCCGAGAGAAAAUCACCACAAGUGAGGCAGAGGGAGGCCGGUCUCAGCAGAGUUUUGGAGGUCGUGAGAAGAAGAGGUAGGAGAUAGGAGAGUGGUUCCGAGUACUUGCCUGCUGAUGUUACCUUCUCCACCCCCACCAGGUUUUCCAGUGCCUGGAGUCUUGGGCAGGAAUGGGCCACUGUAAGAAAGAGCUUUAUCACUAGGGCCUCAGCCAACUUUUCUGUGGGAUAUCCCUCCAAAAUAAUUAAGAGUUCAGAAUGCUUCAGAUUUUGAAGUGAAACUGGUACAUAUAUUAAGUGUUACUUAAUAACCCGAUAGUUUCUAGGGCAGCUCACCAUAAUCCCAAGUAUUAGCCACCACCCUCACCCCCUUCAGAGUAAAAUGUGUUUCCUGAAGGAAGUUGGGAAAAUGAAGAAAAAAAAUACAAAAAUCACCUAUAAUCUUACCAGUCAUAGAUGGCAGUUUUCCUGUCUUAUUUCUGAAUAAUGGUUGUUAAACAUUUGCCAGCACACCAUAAGGCUUAGGGAGGCAUCUGGGUCAUGCAUGUUAAUAUCCUUGGGUAAUUCCAGAAAUCUCUAUGAAGGGAAACUCCUGUUAUUUAUCUAGACUUCCUGAUUGCAAGGGGUUUGGGCAUCAUGAUUUAGGGGUCUUAAUAAAAUUAUUAUUUUAUUUUUACUAAUAGAUAAUGUCUGUGCCUAUCAGAUAAAGGCAAACCAGUGCUCAGAGGAACCCAACCAUCUCUGAAUUGAGACCAGAGAGCUGUCUCUAUGGAUAGUCCUUAGAGAAGGCAUUUCGGAACACAGUAAACAGCAGCCUGGUGACUCCGAUUACAGGGCCAGUUGCCUUUGUUACAAUAAAAGCAAGUCAUCUACACAGAUUUUUCCUACCAGGAAGAGCAUGUGCUGACCAACAGACAUGAAUUUCAGCCUGGUAGUUACAACAUUCACAGUAUACCCACAUCACUAAGCUGGGAGGCACAUUUUGAGACCCAGAAUCCUGACACCUCCAUGCCUUCAAAAGGGAGUUUCACUCGUUGCCCAGGCUGGAGUGCAACGGCGCGA
rnacentral:lncRNA from 1 species